AGAACCUUAAUCAUCUGACUGUGAGUACGUUAGCUAAGCUAUUAGCAUGAGGUCGGUCAUCAUUCGUGAACGAUAAAAGGUUUGAGAAAUCCUGUAUUGAUCAACUGAUCGAAGGUGUACGACUUAAGACGGGUCCUUUUCACCGGAAGCAGUGUUGUUAAAUUCUCCCAAGUGUGGAGCUGCUCUUAGUGCCGGCCAAAAUUGCCAUCGCUUCGUGUUCUGAAUGAAAAGAUAUUUUCGAACCUCAGACUCACUGAAAAUGGAUCCACUAGUCGAAAAGUGCUUCAGCCGGAGAAAGUUUACAGUUGGGCCGGAACGUCGGCGAAGAAGCACACGUCGUUUUUGGAAAGAAACUACCAUCUUCUGGAAGUCCGCUGACGUGGUGAUUUAUCCGAAGAUUACUGCUUCAGCUCAAUGGAGUACCGCCCACGUAGUGUAGAAGGAAAUUUUGGAUCCCUGGAUUCGAAACGAAGCUGCUGCAGUUUCCUGAUCGGAUUGUUAAACUGCCAAGGUACAAGACGCCGUGUCUCGUGAAAAUCUGAUUAAGUUCGUGUUUUGCUUCUUCCAUCGAUUUGAUCCGCAGAAUGAGAUGUGUUCAUUUUGAGUAGCUACAUCAAACAUCAGCCCUCUCAGCUGGAAAAUCUACGACUGUCAAUCGCCCUUUAUCCAUUCAUUGAGGUAAGUUAGUGUUUUUGACACCAUGCAUAUCCAUUCAACGUCCUGUUUUAGUCAGUCGUGCAAUUUGGCUAGUGAGCAUAGUUGCACGAUCUCCGUUAUGGACGAAAUCAGUUGGCUUUCAAAUCCUAUCCUUUCUAGAUCAUUUCAUUGAUCUGGAAGUCAAUCUUGAAGCAACAUUUGCCCUGUUUCGUUUACCUGUUCCAUAAUUGUUUGCUCUGUAUCUUCUCUUGCAGAUUUUUUUUCCUAGAAAGAAGGAACGUCAGCAAGUGUCUCGUUCAAGAGAUAACUUUGGACAACCCGUGGGAACCUUACCAAGAAUGAUGGGCGGCUAGCAACGAAGACAUUCGUUUUAGUAUGCUGGAAUGACAACAAGUCAACUAACGUUUCUUAAGGUCAGGUAAGUGACAAUCACUGUUCACAAAGGGACUCAGUUGUUGCCGCUCUAGCAUCACCGCAUCGUGAAAGUAAUAAUGCAACAAGUGAAAGAUGCAAAUUCAAAGCAUGUAAAUAAAUUGCUUUCAAAAUACAUUCAUUCGUUGGUUUUGGUCAUUAUAGAAAGAACAUUUCUGGGGAGUUGUGUCCAAAAGACAGAGGAUCUCAAAGUCAGGUUCAUAAGUCAAAUUACGACGAUUCAACAUGAUUGUUUAUUGUUUAUUGUUGUUUUACAUCAACA